CCUAUCUGUGCGGCGAGAGGCGUGGGCUUUAGCCAAUGGGGUUUGAGAGGAACUGAGACGUCAGCGCUCGGGUAAAGGAGUCCUGAGAAAGCGGGCUGUUGAAAAGGAACGCAGGCAUUGGAUCCCGGAACCGCACCCGAAUCUAGAGGAUACCAGACAACCAGCAACCCUCUACUUGGCUGCAGUUUGCGAGACUCAUUCGUUCUUUACAUUUACUUAGAAAAAAAAAAAAGGGGCCUGGCCGUUUAUCAUAAGGGAAGACUUACAGAAAGUCAGCUGUAACUAGGACAUAGUACUCAAUGCAGGCGAAAAGCAUCUAUUAGUUCCUUAGUUGGUACCGUCUUAAAAUUUCACAUACAGUCUUAGCCCCUGGUCGGCCACGAACCCACAGAAAUCCACCUAUCCAAGUAUCAACUUGAUUACUUUUAGAAUCACCAUAGACACAUAUCCCUGAGCAUGUCUGUGAAGAUGCUUCCAGAAAGGUUGAACUGGACAGAAGCUGUACCCUGAAUGUGGACUGCACCCUCAAAGGAGUGGGCAUGCACUGAAUAAAAAGGUAAAUUCGAGUUGAGCAUCCAUUGCUGUUGCUAGCCUGCAGUUGCAGUGUGACAGCUGUUUCAUAUUGAAAUCCCUUCCGAGCUGUGAUAGACAGCGCCUUUAAUCUGCGAGCCAGAAUCAACACAAUUCCUCAGGUUGUUUUUGCCAGGUUUGUCACAGUAAUAGGAAGUAUACAAACACAUUGAGACCCAGUCUGGUCUCAAAAGUUAGUUAUCCUCCUGCCUUAGCUUAACCAGUGUGAACUGCCACUAUUUUUAAUCUUCAUACCCCCCACAACAAAUUGAAUUAUGUUAAAAAAGGAAUAAAACUAGUAAGAUCAGUGUGAAACUUAAGGUAUUCAAAAGGAUCAAUCAGGGUUGAAUGCUGCAACCUGCGAAAUGCCCAGUUUACUGAAGUUGAGUGAGAAUCUGGUUUGGUGCCAUAUUGAAUGGAGUAAAUUGGAAUUUCCCUAAUGCAAACAAAUCAAAAAGGAAUAUACUUAGUUGAAUAACUAUUUAUUAAAUGGCACGCUUUGGUAUUGGUAUAUUAAAAUAUUUCCUGGCUCAAGAAGUUUCCAUGAGACUAUAAUAAUAAGUUUUAAAAACUAGACCACAAAGUCACAAUUACUGUUUAUAGUAUGUAACAAUUCUUGGCUACUAAACAUUCAUAGUCAAAUUGUGAUUCUCAAAAGUAAAAACCAUGUAUUAUCAAAAUAGACCACUUCAAAGGACAGAAUACUGACAAACCCAGUAUCUAUUGAAAUGAAAGCAAAGUACAUUAUAGGAAAGGAAAUUUUUGAAAAAGUAAUGAAAUGUACUUUGUAUACAAUUUUAUACAAAGCAGUUUGUAUAAAAGUAAAAUACUUUGAAUAGUUUACUUUAACCCAUUUUCCUUUAGAAUUGUGUACAAUAGUUCUGGGAUUGGGGGGAGACACAUUCUUAUUAGGAACAUGAUACAGGCUAUUAGGGGUAAAUGAACUUUAUUAAAAGAACAGCUAGUAUAUUUAAAACAUUUUAACAGCAUAGUCUACAGGUGUAACUGCUCUGUCAGUAUAACUAUAGUGUGGUAAGUGAAUAUUUUGUCGCCAAAAAAUUUAGCUACAUUAACAUUUUUUUUUGUGUUUGCCUGCAUGUAUGCAUGUGCUUCACUGAGUGUGUCUGGUACUUGAGGUAGCCAGAAAGAGGGCAUUGAAUCCCCUGAAACUAGAGAUGUUGAUGAUUGUGAGCCUCCGAGUGGAUGUAAAGGACCACACCUAGGACUUUCUGCAAGAACAAGUGCCAUCUCUCCAGCUUCAACUAGCCAUAGUGCGAACUUCAAUAUCCUACAUAAAAAUGUUUGCAACGUC